AGGUCUAUACUGUUCCUGCUAAUAAUAUUUGUGUAAUUCUCAAAACUUUUGGCCAGGACUGUACAUUUUACUCAACUGCGUUACACUGGUGAGUAAAAACUCAGGCGUCUGAUUCCUACCCUUUAACUUGUCUGAAAAUAAAAUAAACAUUUUACUCAACUGCGUUUCCCACUCCAGUCAGCAGAGGGCGGUCUGGGAAUUUAAGAUUAUGCUAUUGGUGUGACGUAUAAUCUAGUGGACGGAACGCUUAUUUCAACAGCAGCAACAGUUUGUCAGACACCUCGGUAGCUUGUUAGACAAAAUAGACAAACCAAUUAAGCUAUUUAGACGCUUUAGUGUGUAUUAACCACUGUGUUUUAAACCCACUUCUGUCGUCUAGUUAGUUAUCAGAUUUCAUUUCAUAUUUACGGUGUUGUUGUUAGUCAGCUAGCGGGCUGGUUAAGUUAGCAUUAGCCUAGCUAACAUCCCCGACCAUGACCCCGACCGACCACUAAGCUACUCCUUCUGCUAAAGAAGCGGUGGUCUGCUGGACGGAGGAAGAAGUUAUCGUGGAAGAGGAGACUGUUUCAAUACAAAAACAAGUAGAGGGAGAGAGACGGGACUAUCGCGGGUCCUGGGGAGGGCCUAACAACAUCAUGAUGCUGACGAGACAGAGAAGAAUCUCUCCGCAUCAGAACUGCUCAAGAAACACCAGCAGAGACCCACAUGGAAGACAUCUCAUUACUGCUCUGACUGUGGGAAACGUUGCAAAUCUUCAUCAGAACUUAAAAUACACCAGCGAGUACACACAGGAGAGAAACCUUAUAGCUGUGAUCAAUGUGCGAGGAGUUAAACUCAGUCAAGCUCCCUGAAAUCACACCAUAGAACACACACUGGAGAGAAACCUUUAAUCUGUGAUCAAUGUGGGAAGAGUUUUACUCAGCUAAGCAGCCUGACAGUACACAGGCGGGGACAUACAGGACAGAAACCUUAUAGCUGUGGUCAAUGUGGGAAGAGUUUUACUACAUCUAGCUAUCUAACUAAACACCAGAGAAUACACACAGGAUAUAUAUCUUAUGGCUGUGAUCACUGUGGGGAGAGUUUUAUUCGGCUACAAACCCUGAAAUCACACCAGAGAAUACACACUGGAGAGAAACCUCAUAGCUGUAAUCAAUGUGGGAAGAGAUACUCUGAUAAAAGAUCUGAUUAAACAUCAGAAAAUACAUGAAGGAGCUGUUUCAUGAUAUCAAUUAAUUAAUGUCACAAUGUAGAAUGUCUUAACAUUGUAGUAGGAGUAUUUUAAUGAUGUCAGAAUGUAGAACCCUAAACAUUUGUUAAAUUGAUAUUGGCCUCAAUGAAAAAAAUCCAGUCUCUGAAUCGAAAGAGUAUUAUCUAUGAGAUUUAUCAAAAAGUGACUAACAAAAAAAGAGUUCUGUUACAUUUAACAUGUUGGUGACCCACUUGAAUCAAAAUGCAACACUUCGAAAUGUUUAGGUUUUCAAUAUAUCCCAAACUGUUUCUGCUUAUUGGUUAUUGAUUUGGACAUGUUAAAACUGCGCUAUUCCCAUUUAGCAAAAUGUCAUUCAAAAGACGUUGAAAAUAAGACUAUGCCCGACGUCCAAUAUAUGUUGGUUGUAGUUGAAAGUGAAAGUUGAAAAGAUGUCUUUUCAGGUCGUUUUUUCAAUGACUUGAAAAAAAGCUUAAUUUCAAUGUACUUGCAGCUUAUACACAUGGAUGCAGUAUAAUAAAUUGGUCUAAUCAUUUUGAUUAACAAUCCUACAUCACUCCAGUAUUUCUUGACAACAUUCAAGUGCUAAUUGUCAUUAUUCCACUACUAAAGAAGUAUGACUCAAAUCACCUCAUAUUUCAUUUCCUCAUAUUUGCUUCCCUAUUAGAGAUGAGUUUUGUUUGGGCUUGUUCCAAGGGGACGAGAGUUCUA